AACUCCAUCCAUUACUCUUCAUAAUGUACUGUUUGUUCCAUCUUUCAAACACAAUUUAAUUUCUGUCCACAAGCUAGUGAAACAUUUACACUGUAUUGUUCUAUUUACUGCAACUUCUUGUUUCCUUCACAUGUUACAUGCCCCUUCUAUGAAGAUGCCUCUGGAUCUUGGUAAAGAGGAUGCUGGUCUAUACAAAUUUGCUUGGGUGCCUCCUUCAACUUCUUCUGUUAAUUGUUCUUCUUCCACUUCUGUAUGCUCUAAUAAAGAUUCUUGUACUCUUGAUUGCUCUUCUGAUCUAAAUCUUGUUGCUUUACAUUCCAAUGUAAACAGUUCCAUUUGUCAUUAUAAAAUUGAUAAUAAUGACAUGAACUACUGGCAUUUAAGACUGGCUCACAUUCCUUUUGCACACAUGAAACACAUUUCUGCUUUAUCUUUUCCUUUUGCUUCUAAACAGCCUUUUCCCUGUUCUGUUUGUCCCAUGGCUAGGCAAACUAGACUCUCUGAUCUAAAUCUUGUUGCUUUACCUUCCAAUGUAAACAGUUCCAUUUGUCAUAAUAAAAUUGAUGCUAAUGACAUGAACUACAUUUGGCAUUUAAGACUGGCUCACAUUCCUUUUGCACACAUGAAACACAUUUCUGCUUUAUCUUUUCCUUUUGCUUCAAAGUAAUGCUUUCAGCCUUCUUAAGUCCUUUCUGUGUAUGGUCAAAACCCAUUUUUAAUGCCACUAUACAAACAGUCAGAAGUGAUAAUGCCUUGGAAUUGGGGUCUAGUCUUGCUAGUGUUUCUUUCUUUAAUCAACAAGGCAUCAUUAAUCAAACUACCUGUCCUCAUACUCCUCAACAAAAUGGUGUUGUAAAAAGAAAGCAUAGAACCCUCCUUGAAGCUUGUAGAGCUUUACUUUUUCAAUCCAAAUUACCUCUUCAUUUUUGGGGGGACUGCCUAUUGACUACCACCUAUUUGCUUAAUAGGAUUCCCUCCAGACUUCUUCACAAUAGAUCUCCUUAUGAAAUAUUGCAUGGCCAAGCCCCUACUUAUUCUCAUUUAAGGGCUUUUGGCUGCUUCACAAUAAGUCUCCUUAUGAAAUAUUGCAUGGCCAAGCCCCUACUUAUUCUCAUUUAAGGGAUUUUGGUUGUCUUGCCUAUGCCAUUAUACCCAUUCCACAAAGAGAUAAACUUAUACCUAGAGCUCUAUCUUGUGUUUUUCUGGGAUAUCCCUUUGCCAAAAAGGGCUACAGGCUGUAUGACCUAACUACUAAGAAGUAUUUUGUGUCUAGAGAUGUUGUUUUUCAUGAGACCUGUUUUCCUUUUGAAUCUGCUUCUUCUGUUCCUCAGGCUGAUUCUGUUUUUCCUCCUCCUCCUGUUCCUUCCUCUGAUGUUCCCUGUUCUGAUUUUUUCCUGGCUACUUUCCCUGCUUCUUCCCCUUCUGCUUCCAGUCCUGCUUCUACAUCACUACCUUCCUCCCUUUCCUCUCCUUCUGUUCCUCUUCCUGUUGUUCCUCCUCCUCCUAUCACUCCUUCUUCUUCUGUUGUUCCUACUGGACACAGAAGAUCUGGCAGACCACAUAACCUCCCUCUUAUUUCAAUGAUUAUGUUUGUCACUUGCCUUCCUUUUCUGGUUCCUCCUCCUCCUCUUCUCCUUUGGAGUCUGAACCCCUCUUUUAUUCUCAAGCUGCUUCAGUCUCAGCUUGGCAGGAUGCCAUGAGCA
rnacentral:lncRNA from 1 species